rnacentral:rRNA from 1 species
UACGAAGGGUGCAAGCGUUACUCGGAAUUACUGGGCGUAAAGCGUGCGUAGGUGGUGAGUUAAGUCUGUCGUGAAAGCCCCGGGCUCAACCUGGGAAUGGCGAUGGAUACUGGCUCGCUAGAGUGCGGUAGAGGAGAGUGGAAUUCCCGGUGUAGCAGUGAAAUGCGUAGAGAUGUGGAGGAACACCAGUGGCGAAGGCGACUCUUUAGCCUGUAACUGACGCUGAGGCGCGAAAGCGUGGGGAGCAAACAGG